UCGGGUAUGGUGUAGCGGUAACAUCGCUGACUCUCAAGGUCUCUCUCUUUGGAGAGAGAUCCAAAGUCCUCAGCAGCCCGGGGUUCGACUCCCCGUAUCCGAG